rnacentral:rRNA from 1 species
GACGUAGGGCGCGAGCGUUGUCCGGAUUUAUUGGGCGUAAAGAGCUCGUAGGCGGCUCGUUGCGUCGGCUGUGAAAACCCGCAGCUCAACUGUGGGCUUGCAGCUGAUACGGGCGGGCUGGAGUUCGGUAGGGGAGACUGGAAUUCCUGGUGUAGCGGUGAAAUGACGCAGAUAUCAGGAGGAACACCGGUGGCGAAGGCGGGUCUCUGGGCCGAUACUGACGCUGAGGAGCGAAAGCCGUGGGGAGCAAACGGG